UAGGGANUCUUCGGCAAUGGGGGCAACCCUGACCGAGCAACGCCGCGUGAGUGAAGAAGGUUUUCGGAUCGUAAAGCUCUGUUGUAAGUCAAGAACGAGUGUGAGAGUGGAAAGUUCACACUGUGACGGUAGCUUACCAGAAAGGGACGGCUAACUACGUGCCAGCAGCCGCGGUAAUACGUAGGUCCCGAGCGUUGUCCGGAUUUAUUGGGCGUAAAGCGAGCGCAGGCGGUUUGAUAAGUCUGAAGUUAAAGGCUGUGGCUCAACCAUAGUUCGCUUUGGAAACUGUCAAACUUGAGUGCAGAAGGGGAGAGUGGAAUUCCAUGUGUAGCGGUGAAAUGCGUAGAUAUAUGGAGGAACACCGGUGGCGAAAGCGGCUCUCUGGUCUGUAACUGACGCUGAGGCUCGAAAGCGUGGGGAGCGAACAGGANUAGAUACCCUGGUAGUCCACGCCGUNNNGAUGAGUGCUAGGUGUUGGAUCCUUUCCGGGAUUCAGUGCCGCAGCUNACGCANUAANCACUCCGCCUGGGGAGUACNACCGCAAGGU
rnacentral:rRNA from 1 species